CAUCACUACGCUAGAUGCAUAUCAAUAAGCGGAGGAAAAGAAACUAACAAGGAUUCCCCUAGUAACGGCGAGUGAAGCGGGAAGAGCUCAAAUUUGAAAUCUUAAAGGGUUUUCCUUUUACGAAUUGUAGUUUAAAGAAGUGUUUUCUGUUGAAGUUUUGGUACAAGUUCUUUGGAAUAGGACAUCAUAGAGGGUGAGAAUCCCGUAUUUGACCUUAAUUUUUCAACUUUGUGAUACACUUUCAAAGAGUCGGAUUGUUUGGGAAUGCUAGUCCAAAAUGGGUGGUAAAUUUCAUCUAAGGCUAAAUAUUGGCGAGAGACCGAUAGCGAACAAGUACCGUGAGGGAAAGAUGAAAAGAACUUUGAAAAGAGAGUUAAAUAGUACGUGAAAUUGUCAAAAGGGAAGCGUUUGGCACCAGUGUUGUUUUUCUAAAAAUCAAUUUAAAAUUUGCUUAUGUUGAGUGUUUUAGACUUAAUCGGCUAUACAUUUAAUUCUUUGUAAAUUUUGAAUGCACUUUUUAGUUAACAAGUCAACAUCAAUUUUUUUUGCUGUAAAAAAGUAAGAGGAAGGUGGCUUGGGAUUCGCUUCAAGUGUUUAUAGCCUCUUGCCCAUGCAGUAGGAAGAGAUUGAGGUCUGCAGCAUAGAUCCUUCGGGGCUAGAUGCUUUUGUGCUAGAAGCUAGUAUUAUAUAGACAACUUGUUGAUUAUGUAAUAUAUUAGUUUCUACUCGCUAAGUUAUUUUACCUACGCUUAGGAUGUUGACUGAUAUGUAGUCGUA
rnacentral:rRNA from 1 species